rnacentral:rRNA from 1 species
ACGAACGCUGGCGGCGUGCUUAACACCUGCAAGUCGAACGGAAAGGCCCUGCUUUUGUGGGGUGCUCGAGUGGCGAACGGGUGAGUAACACGUGAGUAACCUGCCCUUGACUUUGGGAUAACUUCAGGAAACUGGGGCUAAUACCGGAUAGGAGCUCCUGCAGCAUGGUGGGGGUUGGAAAGUUUCGGCGGUUGGGGAUGGACUCGCGGCUUAUCAGCUUGUUGGUGGGGUAGUGGCUUACCAAGGCUUUGACGGGUAGCCGGCCUGAGAGGGUGACCGGCCACAUUGGGACUGAGAUACGGUCCAGACUCCUACGGGAGGCAGCAGUGGGGAAUAUUGCACAAUGGGCGGAAGCCUGAUGCAGCAACGCCGCGUGCGGGAUGACGGCCUUCGGGUUGUAAACCGCUUUCGCCUGUGACGAAGCGUGAGUGACGGUAAUGGGUAAAGAAGCACCGGCUAACUACGUG